GUUGUGCUUUUUUGGUGUUUUAUGCAUACAAUGAUGGUACAAAAGCAUUAUUUACAAGUACCUUCCAUGUAUUUAUCACACACACAAUUGCAAGUCUUUUUCUUUUAGCUUAGAGAGAGACACGGGAGAGAGAGAAACAGGCGAGAGAAAACUAAACGGAGUCGGAGCGUCUCCGGCGAUUGGCCGAGCUCCGGCGCGUGGUAGGCCUCAAUCAACUGAACCAAGAGUAAGGAAUCUCAUGGUGGUGACGGAACGGUGGUCGUGAUGUUUGCAGACGUUUGUGGUGUUUACCGGGUUGUUGGAGCAUUUUAGAACUGAUGAAGAGAUUGCCACCAUUAUUGGUCAUGAGGUGUUUAAGCUACUAGCUUGCUAGGGAAGCGAAGCAAUAAUAAGUCUCUAGGAGCCUGUGACCUUAGGACAGUGUCCACGUACCUGCUCCAGGGCCAUAAUUAUCUGUAGAUCUUGUACUGGCACCUGUAGUCAGUAAGAUUUACGGAUAGCUGUCUAGAAGUCUUAAAACAAUAUUUACAUUCAGUCUGUAAUAAUUAAGAAUUUGAGUUGUCGGAACAGUUCCCAUAUUGUUUGGUUGAUUUCUAUGAUAACUUGAUAUUAUUUGGGACACGGUAUGGGACGUGU
rnacentral:lncRNA from 1 species